UUGCAUUCAGACUUUGACUGGAGCUUGAGUCAUUGGCUUUCCUGGUUCUCAGGCCUUUGGACUUGGACUGGAACUGUACCAUUGGCUCUGCUAGGUCUCCAGCUUGCCCAUUGCAGAAAGUGGGACUUCUUGGCCUCUCUCUCUCCGUAGAUAUCACCUCCAUAGGAAGCUGUCUCUCUGCUUUAGAGCAAGAAUCAACAAACUUUUUCUGUAAAGAGCCAGAUACUGUAGGCUAACCCAAGAAGAAUAAAGCAUCGGCUUCCCUGACAUGCUGCUCCCCCCAAAACAGAGUGCCAAUAUGAUUCCAAGGUUCUUAGCACACUGUAUAUUACCUCACUCCUCCUACAGGUAAGUAGAAGUUCAGGGCCAUUGAAGAGAUUAAUAAGGGCUGUUGGGAGUUGGAAAAGUCAGAAUGGACUGAACUAAAGUGAGAAGGCAGAGGUUGAGAAAGAGACAGUCUUGGGGAUUUGUGAGCCCAGCAGAAGCUCAGGUUAAAUUUGUUUACUGAUGAGUUGCCUGCAUGGUGCACUUCAUGAGACUGGAAGGCAAGGCUGCCUAGGAGCAACAUGAGACUUGGGGGUCUAUGUUAGACCUGAAGGACUGGAGACACCUGCCUUCAUUCAAAAUGGACUAGGCUGCCUUAGACAGUGUACAUCUCAGCAGUGACAGUGAUGGACCAAAGACCCUCUGUAUAAGUUCAAAGACUCUGAUUGGACUGUACAAGUAGAGUGAGCCUGCUCUCCAGUAAUGAUUUCGGGCGUCUCAUUAACCUGGGAAGUAGGGACUUAGAGGUCCCCAUUUUAAAAGUUAUAAAAUUUUUCUUGCAUGGAGUGCUGUGGCUUGGAUUCACAUCAUUCUAUAUGGCAGUCAUAAAUCAAAAUUAUUAGCGUUUGCAGAAGACUAGUUUGGCAUUUUAUUUAUAAGUUUAGUGGACACACAAUAAUUUGGCUUUUACUCAGUGAGAUACUAGGAAUUCCUGCCAGAAUCAUCAGUUUUGAUUGGAGUUUUCCGUGGUUUUCAACUACUAAUAUUCUAGCUUUUUAGUUACAAGUUAUUAUUGGUUUUGCUUCAUCUUUAUCAUUUUAAUUUGCUGUGAUUUGCCCAGUUAGCCUGUGAUAGUAUAUAUUUUCAUCAACAGAGUUUUACCCUAUAACUUCCUGAUAUAUAGAUUUUUAGACAUCUGUUGAUAGCUUGAAUAUCAUUCAGUCCCUACUGUUCAUAUAAUCAGUGGCACCCCCCUAUCAGCUUCUAAAGUGGUAUUUUAUUCUAAUCAUCAUUUUUUUUUUUCUGCUAGAAACUCGGAAUGAGUGGGGUACGUGAACUAAGGGGUUCUCUGCUUAGCCAGUGGGCCUUGAUCAUAGUUUGGCAAUUGCUACUCGGAGGCUAUAACAUCCCUGUAGCCUCUGAGGCCCAUGGCUUCCUCCCUACUUAUUCUUUUCCUUACCUUUUAUCUUUGGAAGCUCUAGGAACAAGAGAUGAAAUCCUAGUUUAUCACUUUCAGUGUUGGAACCAUAUAUUUUGCAGUUGUCAUAUGAAGAUACAAAGAAGUACCUGAUGAUUUAGAUACACUGAAAAAGAGUCUUGAUGUGUCGGCAGCAAAAAUACAGUAAACUAAACUACCUUUGAUGAUAAUUUAUAUAAGAUUUCAUUUCUUCCUUGCAAGUAGGCUGUUUUCUAGUAUUGAUGUUGAAUUAGAUUUUUAGGGUAGUGUUUUAAAACUAGGAAAAAGACUUUUUAAUACUUAAACAUUCAGAAACUAGUGUCAUCAAUGUCAUUGUGCCCACCACUCACAAUGAAUAAAUGUUAACAUUUUAUAAUAUUCCCUUCAUUUAUAUUUGUAAAACUGAAAUAUUACUG
rnacentral:lncRNA from 1 species